AGUGAACGCUGGCGGUAGGCCUAACACAUGCAAGUCGAACGGCAGCACAGGAGAGCUUGCUCUCUGGGUGGCGAGUGGCGGACGGGUGAGGAAUACAUCGGAAUCUACUUUUUCGUGGGGGAUAACGUAGGGAAACUUACGCUAAUACCGCAUACGACCUACGGGUGAAAGCAGGGGAUCUUCGGACCUUGCGCGAUUGAAUGAGCCGAUGUCGGAUUAGCUAGUUGGCGGGGUAAAGGCCCACCAAGGCGACGAUCCGUAGCUGGGCUGAGGGGAUGAUCAGCCACACUGGAACUGAGACACGGUCCAGACUCCUACGGGAGGCAGCAGUGGGGGAUAUUGGACAAUGGGCGCAAGCCUGAUCCAGCCAUACCGCGUGGGUGAAGAAGGCCUUCGGGUUGUAAAGCCCUUUUGUUGGGAAAGAAAUCCAGCUGGUUAAUACCCGGUUGGGAUGACGGUACCCAAAGAAUAAGCACCGGCUAACUUCGUGCCAGCAGCCGCGGUAA
rnacentral:rRNA from 1 species